rnacentral:snRNA from 1 species
GUGAUGGGAGUGGGUGCAGCAUAUGAACUAAAAUUGGAACAAUUCAGACAAAAUGAGAACAGUCCUAUGUGAGGAGGACAUGCAAACUCAUGAAGAUUUCCAUAUUUUG